GGGAAGUUGUUAUGCCCAGCUAGUUUGCUACAAGUGCUCAGUGGAGGUGAAACCUUUGCCCACGCAUGCCUAUCCUGGCCUUUACCUGCUCCCUCCUAUACCGAGGUGGUGUAUUUGAUCUGAACCAGUGUAAAGGUUGCAGUUCAAUGGCCUGAGGUGGAAGCAGUGAGGAUUACUACUGCUCCACUUGUUCCAAGGCUUCUUGCACAACUUGACCAAUACACUGACCAGCUCAUAAAAGUCUUCAAGAAAAAAGGAGGCGCUGCAGGGAAGAAAAUUAGACAAAUUUUGGCCCCAGCCACACAGAAGGAAACUAUUGAAAAGAGGAGGGAGUGUGUCCUCAGGGCACUACCUCCUUACAUGAAUGAAGACCCAAGCAUCCUGCUGUUGUAAUGUUGUCGUUGUUAUCAUUUGCAUGGAAUUUUAAAUGUUUUGGGGAAUAUUUAUGUAUACCCACAUUUCAGGAAGAGUUGCAAUUUGAUGCAGUCCAAUACAAGAAGUUAUAUAUUAUAUAUAUAUAUGUAUAUCUAUAAAAAAUAAAAAAAAUUCCCCGCUCGCCCCUGCGGGCUGUCAAUCGUUCAAGCUCGGGUCCUCUACCAGAGGCCUGGGAGCUUGAGGGUCCUGCGCAGUAUCUUAGCUGUUCCUAGGACUGCGCUCUUCUGGACAGAGAUCUCCAAUGUUGUUCCCGGGAUCUGCUGGAGCCACUCGCUUAGCUUUGGAGUCACUGCACCUCAGGCACGUGCAGAGGGGGAGGCGGUAGGGGCUUGAGCACCCGCCCCUUUCCUGAUGGCUGCCCACGGUGCCCUUUUGUUGGAGGCAAUUUUUUUAAAAAAAAUUAAUAAUUUUUUUUUUAAAUGUGUGUGUGCGUGUGGAGUCCUGUCUGUGCCCCUCAACAAUAAUAUUUAACUAGUAAUCACAGUUUUGCUAAUUAAAAGGAUCUGGCUUACAUCAGUCACACGAUCACCAUAAACCAAUGAUCGCCCUUGACGGCAGAACGCGCUGGUUACGUGACGGGAACGAGCUCACAAAGAGCACGCGCAUUUUUGGCGGUCCGGAGCUGUAGGAGAAAAACAAAUUACCUCAGAGACACAGACUGUGUCCCAAAACGUCGGCUGCAUCCUCCGGAGGCCGCAUUUGAAGGCCGAUUACGUCACAGCCAGGCGACAAAGGCUGUCCCAAUUCGUCGACUCCUUCAAAUGCGGCCGACAAAUGCGUCCUUCAUUUCCCUGAAUUUGAAGGAUGGGUCAGGUGUGUCCUUCGUGGCCCACCAUAUCCCAGAAUUCAUAGCGCGGCCCAGCCAAAUUUCAGCUGCCAACAAUGACGGCCGCUACUAAGUUUUAAAAUAAGUCUUAUUAAUCUUUCAGGGUCACAAAAUAAACUUUUAACAUAUUUUCAGGCGAGAAAGUAGCUGUGUAAAUUACAAAUAUCUGCUUGGUUUAUCAAGACAUUGUAUAUUUGCAAAAGUGUGCCGAAGUUUUCGGAGACGUCUGUUACCCACCCGCUCGAUAGCAAGCCGGGGGGUUCAAUGGUCACUCCAGCCGGCGAGAGCAGCAGACUCCCGGCUUCAUCGUUUUUAGACCCUCGCUCUUUCGCUACUCAGGUUAAACAUGAUAUAUAAGUCACUCGGAUAACUUAAAAAUGUAAUUGUUUGGCUUUUUUCUGUGUUUUAUUUGUUCCAGAGUAAAUCGGUUUGGCUGAGAUCAAAGUUAUUCGAUUGUUAGAUUAAAUAAAACUUUAUUAAUCCAUUGGGUGGGUUCCUCCGGGAUUUUCACACAGCUGAAUAAACGUUAAACAGAAAAGUGUCUGUGAAGGUUCUCAGUCAUCCAGGUCAUCGUAGUCAAAGGAGUUUGCAAAGAAAAGCGUCUGGACUUCUUUAAGUUGCUUGAAGACGUUUCACCUCUCAUCCGAGAAGCUUCUUCAGUUCUAAGGUCAAAUGGCCGAAAGUCCCAGAUUUAAACCCAGUGGGAGUGUCCCCCCAAAGAGGGACAAAGGACCCCCUGAUGAUCCUCUAAUCACAUGAGCCAAGGUGUGAAAGUGGGUUAAACAGAAAACUGAUUAAACAGAAGUGUGAGACGGCCGAGAAUUUACGCCAGUGUUCUGUUAUAUUUUAGAUAGCAAGGAGCAGACGGCCGAGUUUAUUAAACUCCACCGACACAGCGGUGACGCAAAUCUGAAGGCUAGACCGUCCCAUUUCACAGCCUCGCACUUCCGGCCUUCUCGGUCUUUGAAGGACCCGGCCCACGUAGACCGCGAAGGCCGGGUCCUCCGAAGGAUGCAGCCGACGUUUUGGGACACAGCUACAGACUGAUGCGACAAAACCAACAUGGCUGGUAAGGACAUGAGGAGGAAACAGUAGCAGCUGUGUGAGGCUACUAAAGGCAGUGGAUCCCUCAGCAGCUGGAUUACAAAGAGCACAGUCAGCUACCAUCUCUCCUAUGGACUUUUUAAUGUCUACAGUCUCAGAUCAACACAGCCCUGCCCUCCAGCACUAUCAGCAGCAGGAGAAACAGAAACCCCUCAACAGCAACAUUGUACCCAUCAGCUUUGAGCACCCACCCCUAUAAAUGUCUCUGCACGGCCCUGCUGCACCUAGUGCUCCGAUUACCACUGGGACCACCUUCACCCUCCACAUCUUCUCGAGCUCUUCUCUGAGCCCUUGGUAUUUCUCGAGCUUCUCGUGUUCCUUCUUCCUGAUGUUGCUGUCAUUGGGAACCACUACUAAGAGACAAUCAGAAGUAUUGAGAUUUAAAGGAUUUAAUUGAGAGAUGAUACUGCACCAGAAAUGUUGAAGGGUGUUGUGUAUAUUAACGUUCAAGGCAUAUUGUUAUGAGGUGGAAGCAUGUUCAUAUUGUGUUUGUGCUACAUUGUGUGCAUUGUAAAGGUAAUUGCAUUACAUAUCAGGAAUAAGGGUAAGUUAGGAAUGCAGGAUGAAUGUAUAUUUUGCAGACUUUUAAAGACGAACAAUUGUUUCCAUGUUAAAAUGUUUCCAACUCGAGUUUUUCUUCCAAGCACUGGUAAAAGAAAUGUUGACAGUGGCAAGUGUUAAAUGGUUACUGCUGUGCUGUUGCAACAAAACUGAAAGCUGACAAGCUGUUUUAUUAAAGUUGUAUUUGGGAUGGUGAUAUCAUUUUGUUGGAUUGCUAAUAUCAGUGGACUAUUUUUUUUAUUAUUAUUACAUUAAUGUUUUUUAUUGUGUCUGUUGAGGUGGACACUUCAGUUUGCAUUGUUAAAGGAAAGCACUUCAUUGCUGUUGUGUUACUGGACUGACACUAAGCAAUCACUGUAAAUAGCAACUUUGCUAUCCAUUUUAGACACUUAAAGGAAAAGCGGUCCACAGACCUUACUAGCAUCACAUGCGCAUAACUCAAGUGUCUGUUAUGUGAUCUUCAGUGUUUUUCUUCUAUUUCUGGCAGAUGCAGACAUUUAAUUUAAAAUCAUUACUUUGAUGUUGCAUCUGUCUACAUACUGUAAGUUACUAACCCUAAUGAGCUGUUGUGUUUUGUUUUGGACUGGGUUUACACAAAUGCUCACUGAAUGUGUUGGCA